GCACCAAGAAGCUUCUUCACUCCUGCACAGCAUGGCGGUGGAGGACUGGCAUUAUUAGGAGCUUGAAGAUAAGUAAGGCAUGGAGCCAAAUCACCGGAUACAGUUCCACAUGACAAAGCAGCUUCUGCCAUAAGCUUGAAGAUAAGUAAGGCAUGGAGCCAAAUCACCGGAUACAGUUCCACAUGACAAAGCAGCUUCUGCCAUAGGCGCAAUAACUACCAUGCACAUCACCAAAGCAACACAUGCUAAUUUCAUGCUUGUUGCCAUUUUUGUUUUCUUUGUUUUCUAUUCUUUUUCUUAGUUUGUUUGAAUGGUGUGUAAUGUCUUUGUGGGAGGGGGUUUAUAUAGAAAAUAAGAUAAGGUUUGAAGAUGAGUAGAUUGAUGAAUUUUUUGUGAAUGUGCAUAAAAAUUAGGUGGUAGUUGUGGUUUGAAUUAAUGACGUAUGGUCCAUUAUCUAUAAUUAUUGAGCAUUUGUCUCACUAUCUUUAAUUUAUUAUUUAAUGAUAUGGUACACAGUUAGAUUGGACGAUAAUUACUGUAGUUUCCGAAUUCAAUUUUCCACCCUCCUUCUUUCUCUUCUCUAUUUUAUCGGUGCUUUCUGCGCUUUGUAUGAUUUUUAACUUUCUUAUAUAGGAUUAUCUUAUUAAUACUACUAUUUUAAAAUUUAGUAUAUUUUUUUAAAAGCAAAUAUUAAAAGAGGGUGGGAUAUAUAGAAUGAAACUUGUUUCGCCAUAGUUUUGAAUGGUUUUAGUGUUAUGAUUCGAGAUUUUGAUCUUAGGGGUUUUAUUAGAAAGGACAUCGUCCCUCCUAAAGUACGUGUUUUGUCUAAUGCCUCUUUAGAAAAAAUGUUCAGAACAUGUAUGUGAAAUUUUACAUGACCAUAGGAUAGAAAGCAAUUUUGGAUUGUUUGAAAGCAGCACAUGUUCAAAAUUUCCUCCUUGCUAUUAUUAUUAAUGGUCAUGCCAACAUAUGACCCUGAUAGAAUAUCAUACAAUUCUUAAAUAUCGAUUUAUGAUUCCCUUAUUUCUUGUCGACAAAGUUUUCUCUGUUUUUCGUAAGGUGUGCUUGGAUAUAUUUGGGGUGUCAUUUGACAUACUUUGGCGUGCCACGGUACCUGUGAAGAAAGAGUCACAUGUGAAUUUUUGUACUGACCACGUGAGGGAUGAUCGACACUUAGGCCAACAAAUGUUUUAGUGUACGAGUGGAUAGGAGAGAAACAUGCAUAUGUAGACUUGAUUUCAGUUUUGACAAACAUUUUAAAAAUAAAUCGAACACGCUAGGUUAAAUUACACGAAACGUAGAUUAAUAAAAUUGAUGUUUGCAAGCUUGAUUUUGAAAAUUUUCGUCAACUAUUUUGACACACAUUUUACAAUUGAUUCAACCGAUUUUCCUGUAGAUACAAAAAUUUAUUUCGACUGACAUUCUAGACAUUAUGCGGUAUGAAAUACAUGUUAUGUUAUGCAGAGAUGCAACAAUUAUGAUGAAUGCAUUGAAUCGUUGAUUCACGGUCAAAAUCGGGAUGUGACAAGUUCUACCAGGGUUUCAUCAAGGGUUCCAUCUAAGGUUUUUAUCAAGGGUUCCACUAGGGUUUCAUCAAGGGCUCCAUCAAGGGUUCCAUCUAAGGUUUUUAUCGAGGGUUCCACCAAGGUUUCAUCAAGGCUCCAUCAAUGGUUUCAUCAAGGUUUUGUCAGGAGUUUUUAUCUAGGGUUCCACCAAGGUUUCAUUAAGGGCUCCAUCAAGGGUUUUAUCAAGAGUUUUUAUCAAGGGUUCCACCAGGAUUUCAUCAAGGGUUUCAUCACGGGUUUUAUCAAAGGUUCCACCAGGGUUUCAUCUAAAGGUUUCACCAAGGGUUUCAUCAAAGUUUGAUCAAAGGGUUUCAUCAGGGUUCCACAAAGGGUUUCAUCGGGGUCCCACCAGGGGUUAUGUUAGAAGUUUCGUUAGCAGCGAUCGGAGGAUCACUACAAUCCUACUUGAAUUUCGUAAAAAAUGAUCAGAGGAUCAUCGGAAUCAUACACAGGUUUCACCAAGAGGGGUUGAAACCUACCAAAGAUUCUGGUUCCAUCAUAGUGUUGCAUGGAUUCCCCCAAGGAAGUGGUUCAAAUAUUUGAGUUCCAUUAAGGAUAUUAUUCGGGAUCCAUUAGAUUGGUUAUGUGAGUUUCACAAGGGUUCCACCAAAAGUUGGUUUAGAUACCAACGAAGUACAAAAGGCAUCAAGUCUUUAUACAUCCCCAAAAAAUCUACUAACUCCAUGGACAAAAUUAGGGUCCCUCUCUAUAUUUAAUCGUCUUCCGUCAUGAGAGGAUGAAGACUCGCCAUCACCAUCAUCUCAAUUUAAAUUUGAUUAAAUAGGGACAGUUGUCUUACCCCAAAAUUUGUCUGCCCUUCAUAUGUUUUCUAACGCCACUUUAUUUCGAAUAAAUGAAAUGACACUGUUUUUUUACUGAGUCCCAACUUUAUUUUUAAAAAAGUUUGUUUUUUUAUUUUUAUUUUUUUAAAACCACUGAUGGAUUUUCUUUUCUAUUUCAUUAGUGCCUUUUAAUUUGAAAUUUAAAUUUUAUUUAUUUGAAUAUUAUAAUAUAUAUAUAUAUAUAUAUAUAUAUAUAUAUAUAUAUAUAUAUAUAUAUAUAUAUAUAUAUAUAUUAAUUAUAUAUAUAUAUAUAUUAGUAUAUAUAAAUCUUUUACUAAUAAUUUACAAAUUUUUGUAAAUAAUAUCCACUACUAUUUCGAUCACAGAACAUACUAGUAAUAUAUUGACAUGUGAUACUUCCCUAAUUAUUCUGCAUCUUGUAUGAUUUUCAAUAAAAAUAUACAAAGUGUUGUACCAUAGAAUAAAUCAAAAAACUUAAUAUAUGAAACUAUUAAUAUGAUAUUUAAUUAAGUUUUUAGGCAACACAUAAUUGCAUCAAUUAACUCUGGUUGAUAAAUUAUGACUAUUUAUUUACGUUUUAUAAAUUAUAUUAUAUAUCACAUAUAUUUGAAAAUAAUUCAUAUUUUACAUAAAAAAGAAAUCAAUUUAUUUUAAGUAAUUGUAUAUAUAAGUAUUUUAUCAAUUCAACUCUUAAAUUAAAAUUUUAAAUUGAUAACUUUUAUAAUUUCUUAUAAAAAUUCAAUGAAUAUUGAUUACACGUGCAUUUAAUCUUGUUUUCCAAUUUAGACAUUCUUGAAAAUAUUUUAGAAGUAAUAAUAUAAUAAUAAAAAAUCAUGCAAUACAUCUAUAAUUUUUUUUACAAUGUAUAACUUAAUUUUUUUUAACAAACAAUACAUAUAACAUAAACUUAUACUAGUAUUUAUUAUUACAUAGAUUAAAUGGCCCCACAUCCUUAAUUUUCUGGAUCUACCCCUAGAUCCUACAAACAAAAACCAUCCCACGUUACACUACACAACCAUUGCAUGUGAAAAAUAGUAAUGUAUGUUGGUACAAAGCAGAGAGAAAGAAUGGUAAAAGAUCUAGUCUCAUCUCAUUUUUAGUUAACAAUUAAUUUCUUUUUAUUUGAUUUAACUAUCAUUUAACUAUCAUUAUUUUUAUUUUUAUUUGACAUUUGAAGCAUAGGCUCAAACCUAAUAGUAUCAAUCUCUUCAUAUAUCAAAACUUUUUUAAUUCAUGAAUUGAAUAGUUCUUUUUUCUUUUCAACAAAUAUUUAAACUUCUUGGUGCUUUUGUUACGGAUUUGAUAAAGUGAUUUGGUCUUCAACGCCAUUGACUCAACGUCGCAGUCACUCUGUCGACACUUCCUCUCAAACUAGAAGGUUUUAGGUUUAUUUUUUUUCCUUUUAUCAUAUAAAUGUGUGAGUCUGUCUUUGGCCCAUGUGUAUGUCCAUUUAAUUGAUUUUGUUCUACAUGUUAAUUAAUUACAUUUACACGGUAUAUUAUAACUCUUAGAUUAAUUUUUGUGUCAUUCAGCAGAAAAGUAUAUUAAUGUAAUUUUGUUUGAUACUUGAAAAGAUUAAAAAAGAUAAUAUUAUAAAAACACCCAAAAUAUUAAUUUAGUUAAUUCUCUUUUAUUAACUCUUUUUUCAUUUUAUUAAUUUCGACCACUAAGAUUAUUAACAUAUAAAAGUAAUAAACUCAUAUCUUAUUUUACUUUACGUUAAAAACAAAAUAAAAGUCAAAAAUAUUUCUUUACAUAUUUAAAAUAUUUCUUCUCAUUUUUAAUUCUAAAAAUUUAAAAAGACAAAAAAAUAUAUUAUAUAUUUUAUAUCUUUGUUUUUUGUUUAAAAAUUAAUCUAUUAGGUCUAACUUAAUCUAGUUUAUUUUCUUCUAAAUUCAUUUUAAAAUAAAUUUAUUUCUUUAUAAUAAGAAUAGUAAAAAAAACAAUAAUAAUAAUAAUAAUAAUAAUAAUAAUAAUAAUAAUAAUAAUAAUAAUAAUAAUAAUAAUAAUAAUAAUAAUAAUAAUAAUAAUUAUCUAUGUAAAUAUGAAUUUAUUUUCUAAAUCAAAUUAAAACUAUAUUUUGCAAACUAACUUGAUUGUUUGGCGUCACACCUUAUCGAUAAAUAAUUCAACUAAAAACUUAAAAUCAAUUCAAACACAAUCAAAUGUUAUUUUCUCUGUCCUUGUGCAUUGAUAUUCGCUUUUUUAAACAAAAAUUUCUCCGCCCUGGUGCUUGAGAUAUUUUCACAACUAAAAUCAACAAACAUACAAUAUUUUCUAGACGGAUUUCAGUACUUUGAUCAUUCAUAUUGCUUGAGGGUACGUAGGCAUAGAGUUGUAACACUCUGGUGAAUACAAUAACAAAAACCUUUUCUCUGUCAUCUUUCCUGAUUAAAUUUUUCUUUUAUUAAAAUGAUAACCUAAUUCCCUGUAAAUAGGUAUAUUAAGCAAAAAUAGAUAACAUAAGAAAACACCCCAUAGAUAACACCUCCCCCUCACUAAAUCGACUCCCGAACCCUAAUGCACUAUCCUUACCUUUUAGGGUUUUCUCAUUAUUUCCCAUGUUCAUUAGGAACAAAUAAAAUAUGGUGGCAACUCGGUAAUUUUCCAGCCGCGACAACAAUAUUCCAUCUUAAAUAUCUUGAGUAUCUCACUUGUAUAUCUUCUUUGAUGCAUCACCAAAUCUCUACUACUCUUGUAGAAUUUGAUGCCAAGAAAGUAUGAAAUGUCUCCCAAAUCAAACAUUUCGAAUUCCUUGCUAAGGUCACCUUUGAAGUCUUCGAUCUCUUUCUUACAAUUACCAGUUCUUAAUAAGUCAUCGACAUAGAGAUAUAGUAUAAGCAAUUCACUCUUGCUUCUUCUUACAUGUAAUCCAUGUUUAGUUGUGCACUUCACAAAUUCGUCCUCCCUUAGAAAGCUAUAUAUCUUCUUAUUCCAAGCUCUUGGAGCUUGCUUAAGUCCAUACAGGGCUUUGUACAACCUGUAUACCUUGCUUUCUUCGACUUGUUUCACAAACCCAACUGGUUGUGCAACAUAAACUUCUUCAUCUAAGAGGGUCAUUUAAGAAUGCACAUUCACAUCCAUAUGACACAUAUGCCAGUUGUUCGUGUUUGCUAGACUAACAACCAACCUGAUUAUUUUGAUCCUAGUAACAGGUGCAAAAACUUUGUCGAUUCCUUCUUUUUGAAGAAAUCCUUUCGCCACAAGUAUUUCCUUGUGUCGAGUUACUUCUCCUUUAGGAUUCAACUUCACCUUGUAUACCCACUUCUCAUUGAUUGCCUUCUUGUCUUUAGGCAAUUCGACAAGUGACCAAGUGUUGUUGACUUCAGUGGACUUCAGUUCCUCAUUCAUUUCUUUCAUCCACUUCGAAUCCUUCAAUACCUCGACUGCAUUGACUAGUUCAUCAUAUGCAUAGAAAGCAUAGUGUACCAGCUCACCUUUAUCAUCAACCACAUCAUCUAAUGUAAUCACACAUUCUUUCAACCUUACAGGCAUAUGUCUUGUUCUUUGAGGUCUGUUUGUGCUUGUUUGACCUCUGACUUCUUCUUGUCGAACUUCUCUUUCGAAUUCACUUGUUGGGUAUUCACAUAGGAUUCAUACUGAAUCCUUCUUGACAUUUUCAGUCCAAUCACAUUCCUUAAGCUCAUCUAUGAUCACAUCCUUGUUGAUCAAUAAUUGCUUGUUCAUCAAUAUUGUUUCAGAAUUCUCCAUAGGUUUGGUGUAUUUCCACAUUCAGGAAUUUCGUCUUAAUCCCAACAUCUGGUAUCUAAGCACUAGCUGUGUGAUUCUUGGGAAGCAUAAUGCUCUGAUUGAUUACACCUUUUGUUCUCCACUCUUCACUUGAGUGAAUCAACCAACCUUGAUUUCAAGAUGAUUUUGUUGCACGAUGACUAUUGAAGAAGAAAAAAAAGAUGAAUUGAGGAAGAAAGGAGAAUUUAGGGUUUGAGAGAAAAGGGGAAGAAGAAGAAGAAUUCUGCAGAGUUUUUCUUUCUGCUUUCAAACUGAAAUUUUAUUCAACUUUUUUCUAUGCAACUGCAUUACAAACAACGAUAAGUACCUCCUUAUUUAUAGGUUGAUAUUGCUUCCACACCAACCAAUCACCAACUAACCUAACUAACUAAACUAAAACAAACAAAUAAAAUUAAGUCAAAAUUAUGUCGAGAUACACUUUAAUAUUUCGACAACUCCUUUCGAACAACAUGCUUCAAUAUAAGAAAUUACAUUUUCAAAUAUAUAUAUAUAUAUAUAUAUAUUAUAUAUAUAUAUUAUAGAUUUUUUUUUUUUUUUUUAAAAUGAAAGUUAUUGUCGACCAAGACUUUCCUCAUUUUAAAGGCAUUUAUUAUUAAUCAAGUGAGUGCCUCUAUCAAAUUUUCAUUUAUAUAUAAAUUUUUGCUUUUAAUCAAUAUCCAUUAAAUAAAUGGUUGUUAUCCUUUAAACAUGACACGAUAUAUACUCUCAAGAGAGGUAAACACCACUUAACUUUUUUCAUUAAUGAACCAUGGAUAAAAUUAAUACGACCUUUAGUAUUUUAAAUUGACAUUAUCAAAACAAUAAAAUGACGAGAAAAUUAGAAAGAAAAAACAAAUUGAUCUUUAGAAUUGACUUAUCUAACACUGCAUCGAUGAUAAUAAAAACAGGCAGCAUUAUGUCGACAGGGACGGUUGCCGACCAUACUGUGUGUCAGCAAAGUUGAUAAAUUUCACCAUAGGUGUUCCUUAAUCACGGCACCGAAUUCAUACCCCACGAUGUUGUGGUACCCAUUGAAAUUCAAACUGUUGCUAUUUUGCAGACUGCAAUACAUUUUUUGUUUGGCAAUAAAGUUAGUCAGCCAUGGAUCCAUAAAUAAUUGAUUGGAGCUUAGUUAACUGUUUAAAUAUUCAUACAAAAAAUAUUUUUAUUUAAAAAAAUUUAAAAAUAACAAAAAUUGAACACACUUGCUUCUAAGUUUAAUCUCUCUAAUUUAUUCACUUGAGAAUAGAUUAGACUAGAGAAUCAAAUUUAGAAUAUUUUGUAAUCAAUUGUGUAAAUGUUCAUGUUGUUAUAAAUAUAAUAAAUACAAUGAGGAAAGGCAUCCCGCCAGAAUUUGUGACAUCCAUGUCACCUUUAUCAAAGAGGAAAUGAGACACCAUAAAAUCUUUAUGAUAACUCUCAAAGGAUCCGUCAUGGAAUAAAUCAUUAGAAUACAACACCAUAAAAUCUUGGAGGAAAUUAUGUGAAGAUUUCAUAAUACAAUUCAUAACACAUUGGAGAAAGUUGAAGAGAGUAGUGUUCCUUAGUGGGAUCCAUUAGAAGAAGAAUGAUACCUCAAAUACAUGUAAUAAUUGUGAGGUCAUAGUAAUUUCACGUGUAAAAGCAUGUAUAAUUGUAAGGAUAGGGUGAUUUCAAUGUGAAAUAUGAUUUUCCACAAUAUCUUGAAUUCCAUUAUAACUCACUCUAAUUCAUGCAAUAUUAGUCAUAAAAAUGGUUUAAAUGCUUUAUAAGUAUCUUGGAAAAAGUAGUAUCAUAGGGUGUCACCAGACACAGACACUUAUUUUAAUGUUUCGUCUAUUUCUUAUCUUCAAUUUCAAGCAUUUUAGUAAGUUUAGAAGGACCAUUUAUUUAGCGUUAAAUGUGAACAAAGGAUCCACUGUCAUUAAGUGGGUUCCCGAUUUAUAUGAAGGGAUAUGUAAGUCAUGGUAACUCGAGAACCACUUAUGAAACUAAUCUAUAUCCAAACUUAUCAAAAUAGAAAAAUCUUGAUCACCACAACUUAAUCAUAACAUCUUGAUCUUCAAGUACCAACAUUUGGUAAACAAGUUUUGAUCUUCAAGCACCAUCACUUGAUCCACAAUAUGUCAGUUACCACCACUUGAUCAACAACUAUCAAGAAUCAUCACUUGAUCAACCACAUAUCAAUCACAAGAUCCACAUAUAAAGCACCAUCAAUUGAACAAUAAGAUGUCAAGCAUCAUCAUUUGAUCAACAUAUCAAGUGUCAUCACUUGAUUAAUCUUCAAGCACAAUCACAUGAACCAACUUAGACUUGAACAAGACUGAUGAAGAAUUCUCUUAAGAGUCUUGUCAACAUCAAAACCAAAAUAAUACAUUGUUAGAGUCUUCAUACCUGUAAACACAUAGAUCCACAUUAUCCUUUUUUUUUGAUGAAAAAUAAUCUCUUAAGGAGUUGGAAUAACAAAGAAAAAAUGUUAUAAAACUUGGAGUGAUUAAACUCCCCCUACAAACAUAGAGAGUAUACCCUACUUCCCCUGAGAGUAUACUUUUGCCCCCUUGGCGUUAUCAAAAAUUUGGGGAAAAUUAAGCAGAUAGACUUGUAUAUGAAUUAUUCAAGCACAUAUAUCAUAAGAGAUGUGCAUAGACAUUUAAUGGAAAACAUACUUCAUCAAUUGAAAUGACGGAAUUCAAAUACAGAAAGGGAAAUAACAAGGAAUUUAAAAGACUAUGAAAAGAAGGAAAAACAUAGGUGAGAUAACUAUUUGUUGUCAUUAAUAUCAUCAUCUAUGAUUAUGUAUUUUUUGUUGUUGAGUUCCUCUUGAUGAUAACCAUGUCCUUUAUUAAUUUUUGAAUAGCCAUAGUGUUUUUCUGAGAUAUUUUCAGAAGGUGUUAAUGAUUGAAUCAUUUGUUGUAUCUAGAUGGAUACUUCAUUUAUGGAUUUGUUCCAUAAUUCUCCUUGAAAGAUAUGAACCCUCAUACUACUGAGGGAUGAGUAGUUAAUACUAUAGUGAUUGAAUCCAUAAAUUCCCCUUGUGUUGACUCUUAGAGUAUCUAUAAUAUUGGUGAUCAAGGCUCUAUAUCGUGACCCUGUUGAUCGAGACUGCUUGUAGGAGGUCAUAUGGAGAAGCAUCUCGUUGAUCCAAUUUGUUUGAAACUGUUGGGUAAGCAGCCACAAAGGGACCAUAUAUUCUCGAAUGAUGACUUCAAGAUUAUCUUGUAUAGGGAAGAGUAUAUGUGUGAUAAAAUAAUGUUGGGUGAGAAUAUGGAGCAUAGAAAUGGUGUAUAUGGGGGGAGGGGGUUGAAUACACCCUUUUGAAAAAUUUAACCAAUUUUUGAAAUGAAAAAUCAGAGUUUUUGAUGUGGAAGUCUUAUAACAAAAAAAGAUAGACUUUAUGCUUAAAUUGGAAAUUAACCACGUAUACAAUUACCUAAUUAACAAAUAUCUUUGAUUGAUUAGAGAUAAUAUCUAAAGAGUUACAUGCUACGAUGAAUUGUCACUUUGUUAAUUACACAAGAUAUGUUCUUUACAAUAUCCAAUUUCUAUGAAAGUUUAACACAACAGUUUGUAGAAUUUAAUCAGAACUAAAACACAAAUAGAUUUUGAUUCUAACAAAACCUAAAUUUAUAUAAUAAAUAACUACCAACAGGUAUUAACAAUAAAUUACACUAAGAAAGGUUAACCUAAACAUGCAAUAGCCUACGAAAAAUUAAAAUGAGAGAGAGAAAGAGAGUGUGAACACUAGGAUGUAUAGUGGUUCAGAUCUAUCUUCCUGCAUGAGCCUAAUCCACUCUCCAAUUGUUUCUCAUUAAAAAAAUUUCUUCAACUAUGUUUUGAAAAAAAUUACCUGAGUUCAUACAAUCAUUAAUCCAUAAUAAUGCUGAGAAAAUAAAUCUUUUAUCUGGAUCUUAACUUGUACACUGCCUUUAUACUGAACUCUUUGUGAAAUCUUUACUCGGUUAUUGCUUCUUUAAUCUUCCAGAUUCACCAAUAUUCUCCAAGUCUCCGUGUAUGGUAAUCGCCCAUGAUCUCACUAAUUUCUUGAGCAAUGAAUUGUCUGAAGAUUGAGAAGAACCGCUACCUUGUAUGUAGGCUUCCUUAUAACUCUGCCAAGAGAUUUUGAGUUUUCAAAGAUAUGGAAGUUGUUGUUGUUAUGUUCUUGGUUAUUAUAAAUUGAGAUGACAAAAUAAUUUAUAUGUGCUAGAGAUUACGCACAAAAGUAUGUGAAAAAUGGUUCUUAGAUUCGAGUCAAGAACAUUUGUUGAUUUGAGUCAAGUGAGCAAGUAAAGUGGAACAAGAUUAACAUAACAAAAGUGACUUAUUUCCUGUGAUUCGAGUCAAAUUAUAUGUAUGAUUCUAGUUAUACAAGCUCAUAAUUUGAGUCAAGUAGAAACCCUGAUUCGAAUCAAUUUGAACUGAGCCGAAUAGUAAAAUGUGAAAAAACUAUGUGAUUCAAGUCAUUUGUAAAGUGUGAUUCAAAUCAAACUGGGAAGUGGCAAAUAGGAUUUGUAUGAUUCAAUCAUGUGCAACUUGUGAUUUGAGUCACAGUGUUGUAUAAUUUUGAAUCAAGUUAAAAUUGUGAUUUGAGUCACAGAUGCAAAAGUCUCCGGCUUCCAUUCCCUGCACAUAGACCUUAAUAUUUUCUUAGCACAAUCUCUGCCAAAAACGGACUUUCCUAAAUUGUUGAUUUUGUUGAUUAAGUGGAAGAACCUAGUCUUCAUGGAUUCCACGAAUUCUCCGGGAUCCACACGAAAUAGUUCGAACUCAUCUGUUACCAUGUUGAUCUUAGAAUCCUUGACGUCAUUUGUUCCAUUGUAAAGGGUUUGAAUAUCGUCCCACAUAGAUUUUGCGCUCUUAUGAUGUAAAAUAGAGUAUAAUACUUUCACACUUAAAAUUGAGAUAAGUAUGUUACUCGCUUUCAAAUCAUAUGAAGCCUUUUUGGUUUCAUCAUCUAUCUAAUCCUUUGGGUGUUUAACAUCUACCCGUAGAUUUUUAUAAAUUGAUAAUAAAUGUACAUACAUAUUUUCUUUCCAAUAAUGAUAAUUAUCGGCAUCUUCACCCAUAUUCCCAAAAUUUUGAGUCACUUAGACCUGAUCAAAAUACCAACUUUGAUACUAAUUAUUGGGUGAGAAUAUGGAGUAGAAAAUGGUAUAUAAUGGGUGAAUAGACCCUUUUGAAAAAUUUGACCGAUUUUCAAAAUGAAAAAUCGAAGUUUUUGAUGCGGAAGUCUUAUAGAAAAAAUAGAGACUUUAUGCUUGAAUUGGAAAUUAAUCACUAAUAUAAUUACACAAUUAAUAAAUAUCUCAGAUUGAUAAGAGAUAAUAUCCAAAGAGUUACCACCUGUGAUGUAUUGUCACUUUGUAAAUUACACGAGAUGUGUUCUUUACAAAAUACAAUUUCUAUGAGAUUCUAACACCACAGUUUGCAAAAUUUAAUUAGCACUAAAACACAAAUGAGUUCUGAUUCUAAAAAAAACUAAACUUGUGUAAUAAAUUGCUACCAACAGUAAUUAACAAUAAACUACACUAAGAAACGAUUACCUAAACAUGCUAUAUCCUACAAAAUUAAAAUAAGAGAGAGAGAGAGAGAGAGAGAGAGAGAGAGAGAGAGAGAGAAAGAGAGAGAGAGAGAGAGAGAGAGAGAGAGUACGCCCGAAUGUAUAAUGGUGCGGGUCUAUCGUCAUCAUAGAAGCCUAAUCCAUUCUCCAAUGGUUUCCCAUUGAAAGUUGUCAUUCCACUAUGUUUUGACAAAAAUUGCACGAGUUUAUACAAUCAUUAAUCCAGAAUAAUGAUGAGAAAACAAAUCUUCUAUCUGGAUCUUGACUUUUACAUAGCAUUUAGGAUGAACUUUCUGUGAAAUCUUUACUCGAUUCUCGCGUCUUGAAUCUUCCAACUUCACUAAUCUUCUCCAACUUUUCGCGUGUGGCAAUCACCUCUGAUCCCACCGAUUUCUUCACGAAGAUUGAGAAGAACGCAUACCUUGUCUGUAGGCUUCCAUACAACUCUACAAAGGUCAUCAUAGAGAGAAGAACCUUUUUUUUUCACCAGAUUUUGUCACCACAAGUCACAACAAUCCCAAUGAUAAAGUUUUUACUGGUUUGUCAACAAAUGUGAAAGAGGGGGAGGAUAAGUAUCUUUAUGGCCAGUAGUUGGUUUCUUAUAAUUAACAUCCCCUUGGACCUCUUUCUCCUUCAAAUAUUGACUUUAGAACCUUAUCAUGUGUAUGAAUCAAUAGUGAAUCAAGUUUUUAACGUAACCCCCAAAGGCGUAGUGGUUUUUUAGUGUUUCUUUCAUCCAUCAUUGGUGGAUUUGGUGUUUGAGUUCUAACUUGGUUCAUAUUUGUUGGUUACUUGUUGUAUUAGUAGCACUACUACAAAAUAGACGUUUGGUAACACCCAUUUUACAACGGUUUUCCUAUUAACCGUGGUAAUAAUUUUUUGGGGCGUUUUUUUUUUGUGUAUUUACUAAAAGAUAUUUCACAACGGUCAUUGAUACCAACUGUGGUUAAAAGUGGCGUCUGAUCAUGAGUUUGAAUCUCAGCACCUACAAUUUUGUUUUUAUUUAUUUUUAAGCCACUUUUCACCACCGUUGGAACUUUCAACUGUCGUGAAAAGUGGAUCCUGGUCAUGAGUUCGAAUCCUAGCACAUACAGUUUUAUUUUUAUUUAUUUAUUAAAAGACAUACAACAACGGUUGAUUAAAGUAACUGUUGUGAUAUGUUAAGACAUAUAACAAUGGUUGUUUAAAGUAAUUUUUCUGAUAGGUACAAUUUUUUUUUUAAUAUUUAUUAAAGUAAGCAUGUUUAUUGAGUUUCUUCGCCAUUCUUAAAUAAAUCUUUGUCGGCCAUUUAGUGAGUAUCAAUGCCCAAGACACUACCAUUGGUGAUCCGCAUGAAACCUAAAACUUAGAUGAACUUUCAACUUAGAAGAACUUCAUCUUCUACCUCCAAACAUCUUCUUCCAUUUAUGACUCUCUAUUUCUCCACUAAAUUAAACUCGAAGACAUUCUUUCUUCCAUAAGCAAAACUCAAAAACAUCAUUUCUUUCAUUAACAAAUUCCAGAACUCCAUCACCUCUUCUCCCACUUGAAUGAGACAAGGAAAACAUGGAUUCUAGUUAGCAAUGUUAGUGUUUUUGUUAUUUUGUUGUUGUUGUUGUUGUUGUUCUAUUGCUGCAUUUUUAUUUUAUUUUAUUAAAAGUCAUACAACAACGGUUGUUUAAAGUAACCAUUGUAAUAAAGUGAGACAUACAACAAAGGUUGUUUAAAGUAACCGUUGUGGUAAGUAGCGUGGUGAAAAAUGUCAUACAUACAAUCAUACCAUACCUCACAACGGUUGAUCCAAAGUGGUAGUAUCCAUUUUCCGACUGUUGUGAUAGAUAUUUUUCGUAGUAGUGUAACUAUUCGAUUUUCCUUUUCUUUCUGCUUAUUUUUGUUCUUGGUGAUUGAUUGUAUUAGCUCCAUCAUUUUAUCUUUUAGUUUUUUUUGUCUGUUUUUUUUUCUUUGGAGGUUUUUCUCUUCGUUAUUAAUAUAGUAAUUGAUAAAAAAAAUGUUAGUAAUAUUUUCCGUUACCACGUUUAAACAAUCCAACUUAUUAGUAAAACCCAUUUUGUUGUAGAUAAGUUUAUGCAACUUUAUCCAUAAUAAAUGUAAGUUAAAUAUGAACUUAAUUGUAUAAACUCAAAUCUCCUUAGACUUACGAAAUGACAUUAAUAUCAAACAAACUUGCUUUUAACUUUGUUUUUAAUUGUGAUACAUUGCAUUUUUUUAAGGGUAUUUUAGAUUUUUCUUUCACACUAUUAAAUUAAUAAAAUCACAACUUUUGUUGCAUUAAAUAUAUUUAAUAAUAUCGUUAUGAAAAAGACAUAUCAAAUUAACUUUUCUAGCCUCUUAUCUUGAUUUUUCAUUUGUGAUACAAUGAUUUUUUAAAGAUGUUUUACUAUUUUACAAUAUUAUAUUGAUAAUAUCAUAAGUUUUUUUUUGCAUUAAAUCAAUUUAAUAAUAGCAUUUAUAUAUUAAUUUAAUCAUUAAUUAUUAUAUAUGUUAUAAAAGAAAAAUUAUCUUUGAACCACAACUAAGAUUUAGAUUAAAUUAAUAUUUUAAUAACUAUUGUAUAAAAAACAAUAAUCAUAAUAUACUUUAAUUAUACUUUUAACGUUAAUAUGUAUACACGGGACAAAUGUUUGUUUGGCAUUGAUCAAUAAAUUAAAUUAAUAAAAUUAAAAAAUAAUUAUAACAUAAUUUACUAAAAUAAAUUGAUUCAACAGUCCUUGUCCUUAAAAUGUUGGAGUUUCAUAUCUUUUAAAAUUUUCAAACUUAAAAUUAUAAUAUAUAAAAUAUCAACGUGACAUUUAAAAUAAUUCAAAAUAAAAAUAAUAAAAUCAUAUCAGUAUUUUUGGAAUUAAAACAAAUAAAUAAUUGUUGAGUUAGCGAGCCACACAAAUCCUUUUGUCCAAUCAAAUUCCAAAAUAUUUAAAUGAUCUAAAUCUUUAUAUUGCAAGAUUGUUUUUGCAAAAAAUAGUUUUACAGGGGCAUAAAUUAAAAUUCGCCUAUGGCACGGGGAAAUGAUAUUAACCAUUUAUAAAAUUAUUCAUUAAAAUUAAUCUCUUUUAAAUAUUUUUAAAACAAAUGAGAAUAUUUAUAAUAUAAUAAUUAUAAUUUUUCAUACUUUUAACAUUUUUUAUUAUUUCAUUUAAAAAUUAAUAACUAAAAAUAUUCGUUGACACAUCCCGUUCAUACACGAUUUAGUCCAUAUUUGAUUUUGAUAAAAUUUUGAAUAAUUAAUUUUUCUUAAAAGUGAAUUGAAUGUUUUAUAUUUUGAUACAUAGUUGAAUUAUAAGAAUUAAAAAUCAUGUUAAGACUCGAAAUCUACCAAUGAUUGUGUCUUCGAAUUAUGAUAAAUUAUUCAGGGAAAAAUAAUUCUACCAGAAGGCAAAUAAACAUACUAAAAUUGAUUAUAAAAUGGUAAAUCAAACAAAGAAUUAUUAUUUUUAUAUCUUAAAGAGAAAAUUGAUUCUAAAAUACUAAUUUAAGUUUAUUAUGAAAAUUAUAUAAGAAAUAAAUAUUAUUGAUUGAAGAGUUAGUUAAAAUUAUAAUUAUUUUUAAUAUUAUUCAAUAAAAAAUAUGAACAAUUACAAUGCAAUUCCUACAAUUGUGUUGCAUAUUUUAAUUUUAUUCAAGUUGUUUAUCAAGAAACAAGACACUUAAAAAGGUAUUCUAGCAUACAAUUCUUACAAAAAUAAAUGUUUUUCCCUAAUAAAAUAAUUAAAUUUAAUAUUUUCAAUAGCUUGUAGAUAAAAAUAAGAUUAUUUAUAAUAAAAUAUUAAUUAAAGUGAAAUAUAAAUCAUUGAUUUUUAUUAUAAAAAAAAGGACAAAUAGUCGUAACAAAUACAUAAAAAAUACAAGAUAGAAAUAUUUGUAACAGGUAAAUAUAAAAAAAAAUAUAAAAUACACAUUUGUCAUUGUUACAUAGCAAAAUAAUACGCAAAUAUUUUUUAUUUUAUUAAUGCGAAAUAAAAACAAAAAAUUAAAUUCAAAUUCAAAAAAACAGUCUCCUCCAAUAUGUAGAUUUUGAUAGUGGUUUUGCAACAUGACUCCUCCAUAGCAGGAGUUGUAGAGACUCUCAGCACCACCUCUCACUCUAUUGAGGUUGUUGUGCACCUAGAUCAUCGUCGAUGGUCUUUGCCGUCCUUGGUGAUUUCCAUUGAUUUGUAUCUUAACCCCUUAGGAUCCGUUGUCUGUUGUCCACUAUUCAGAAGGAACUCCGUGCCAGAAUGGAUAAACAAGACACUGUCAACGACAACAUUCAGAACAUGCUAGCUCAAUUGCUUCAGAGAAUGCCUCCGCCUCCCAACCCCUAGGCACUUAGGAUUUUGUUUUUAGCCUGUUGUUUUGGCUUGUUCUGAUGACUUGUUCUUUUUGUCCUUGUCUCUGUUGCUUUUACUGAAUACAAUGUUUUUUUCUUGAAUUAUUCUUUUCUGCUAUGUCUUUUGAUUCUGACAAAAAGGGGAGAAGUCAUUAAAUGCUCUGACGAAAUUCUGUUCUAAAUACUUAGCACUUGCAACUAUUUUCUUAAAAUAAAUUUAUCUACACUAGACUUAAGAAAUUGCAGAGGGGCAACAUUAGCUGGGUGGUAAGUUUGGUAUCAAGACCUCAUUCCGCUUGGAAGCUUGGUAAAACUUUUGACUCCCGUAGCCUAUUCUCAGGGGAGGUCUUGUCUAUCUGAUCUGAUAUUGUUUAUGUUUCAUCUGCUAAUUAAGUUUGUUUUGUCAUUUUCAGAAGGGGGGAUUGUAGAACAAAUUGGUGAUCGGUACAGCAGAUUCGGCUCUNNNNNNNNNNNNNNNNNNNNNNNNNNNNNNNNNNNNNNNNNNNNNNNNNNNNNNNNNNNNNNNNNNNNNNNNNNNNNNNNNNNNNNNNNNNNNNNNNNNNNNNNNNNNNNNNNNNNNNNNNNNNNNNNNNNNNNNNNNNNNNNNNNNNNNNNNNNNNNNNNNNNNNNNNNNNNNNNNNNNNNNNNNNNNNNNNNNNNNNNNNNNNNNNNNNNNNNNNNNNNNNNNNNNNNNNNNNNUGCUAUGUCUUUUUGAUUCUGACAAAAAGGGGGAGAAGUCAUUAAUAGCUCUGAUGAAAAUACUGUCUAAAUACCUUAAGCACUCUGCAACAUAUUUUUCUUAAAAAUAAAUUUAUCUAACACUAGACUUAAGAAAUUGCAGAAGGUAUCAAGAAACCUCAUUGCUUGGAAGCUCUGGUAAGAACUUCUGAACUCCCUAGCCUAUCUCAGGGGGAGCUCUUGUCUAUCUGAUCUGAUAUUGUUUAUGUUUCAUCUGCUAAUUAAGUUUGUUUUGUCAUCAUCAAAAAGGGGGAGAUUGUAAGAACAAAAAUUGUUCUACAACAGAUUCCAUGAUUUUGAUGAUAACAAAGGAUGAAACCAAAAAUGGCACCCUAACGAAAAGUUUCUAAGUGUGCAGGAUUCUAAGGAAAGAAGGAAGAGAUCUGAUGACGUCAUCAGAUACAGAAUCAUAUCAGAUACAAAUUAUCAGAAGACCAAAAGCAUCUGAAGUAUAAACACGCUCAAGAAAGUCUAACUCUGAGCAAAAACAACAAAAUAUCAGAAGCAUCUGAACAAGAAGUACGCUCUAGAAGUUCUGACUCUGAACAACGGUAUGUCAAACUCCAGAAGCUAUCAGCGCUAUCUGAAGAAACCAUCAGAACUUAAAAGAGAUCAACAUCAGAAGUUAGAUAGCAAGAUUCCAAGAUUCCCAGAAACACGAAGACUCAGAUCUUGGAUUUCCUAAUAAGGAAAGAGUAACGUUAACUUCAAAUAAAGGCUUGGAAAUGGAUUUCCUAAUACAGAAAGAGACGUUAAACUCCAAAUUCAAAUGAAAAGGAACUAUUUUUGGAAAGUAGUCAUUCGAGGAGAGAAAGUUGUCUUGGCAAGAAGCUAUAUAAGUUAUGGCAUUAAUUUAAAUUAUUGGCCAUCACCUUCAACGACUACUUCACUCCUAUAUAUAAAGGACUGCAAAUCAACAUCAAACACAAGAAUUUACUGAAACAUCAACACACAUAAACACAUUUUAUUCUCUCAAUCUUCACGAAGCUUUUGCUUAGAACGUGAAACACUUUGUUCUUGCUGUUGUAAUAUUUGCUUAUCUUAGAAGCACUCUAGAUUACAUAAGUCUUUAUCCUUGUUUUUUUCCUCAAGUGACUCUGCGCAGUCUGUAUACUUGAGAGGACUAAGAGAUCUUCUCUUAGACGUCGUUUGUAAUCAAUCUUUCAAGAUUAGUGGAUUAAGUCCUUGUUGAAGGCGAAAUCACCUUGGCCGGGUGGACUGGAGUAGCUUUGUGUUAUAAGCGAACCAGUAUAAAUUCCUUGUGUGAUUUUCAUUUUUGAAAAAGCGCUUAUUUUCAAAACAAUUCAAACCCCCCUUUCUUGUUUUUCUCACCUUCAAAGGUUUGAUUUGAUUUUGUAUCAGACAAUUUUGCUUGAAAGAGUUAUAUGGCUUUCACAAUUUGGUUGUGUUUCAGGUUAUUUUAUGGACAUCUCAUGUUGUUCAUAUUUUGCAACAAUAUGUUAUUGAUGAGAUGAUUUAAUUAUGUUUUUGUGGUCGGUUCAUUUGCCAAUUGUUGUGAAAUAUAAAGCUGAAAGUGAUACUUUAUUAAACCAAAGACAAUGACCUUAUAUAGCCUUACAGGAGAAAUAAAGAAAUAACAGAAGCAAACUAGAAACUAGGAAACAGACUCCAUUACGUAAUUAUAGAUGACUUAUUCAACUAAGACAAAUUCAAACUACAACAUACCCUCCCUUAAGCUUAACUCUCAUGAAUUAAGCUUAAUUCAGACAAGUUAACAAUUUCAAGUAAUGCUCUCAGCUUCUCAAACUGCUCCAGCUUCAACGACUUCGUAAAAAUAUCCGCAACUUGGUUUUUUGCUGCACAAUACUCCAGCUUAACAGUUUCCCCAUUCACCAGCUCUCUAAGAUAAUGAAACCUUACUUCGAUAUGCUUACUUUUCCCAUGAAGGACUGGAUGUUUGGACAAAGCAAUCGUCUAACUUGUAAGACCCAAAUUUUGACCCUAAGAUCCCUCAUGGCAUCAUAUCAUUGCACAUUGCAUUUGCCUCAAGGAUCAUAGCAUCUUGACUCCUUAACCUUUGGGUAGGACUUGUGUGAGUUGGUCUGAGACCACCAAGAAUGCUUGAAUAGUAUAUUAUUGCUUUUAUCAUUUUGUUUACUAACCAAAAUCACAAAAAAUAUGUCACUAACUUUGUUUGUUUUGUAGCUUGAGCAAUCAUAAGAUCCAAGGCUCCUAGGAGACCCUUACUCAUUAGAAUGGCCAAAUGAAGUUGAAAGAAAGCAUGACAAUGGUUCACAAGGCUCUCAAUCAUCAUAUAUUCCUCCCAAGUAUCUCAGUUUGUCAAUUUGAUCAAGAUAAACCAAAGGACUUGAGGCCUGUUUCCCAAGGAAACCCUAAUUCAUCUGUGCAUUGAUUGUGCCUUGCUCAUGAAGUAACCUCAAUCCAUGAUCAAAUAUAAUCAAGGGAAUUUCUUUCAUUCAUCAUUUCAUGAAUAUUUGAGCUUAUUUGAGUGUCCUCAAUCAUCAAUUCAUCAAGAUUUGAAGUUUGGACUUGAGAAGUUGAUCAGUCAAUUCAUCUAACUAUUUUAAAAUCCACUGAGACCUAACUUUUGAUGUGUUUGUCAAAUGAAGAUGACCCCAAGAGAAAAAAUGUUCUUAAGAACCAUAUGAACAACUUUCAUGUUCAUCAAAAAUUUAUUUGAAUCUUGUAAGGUCAUCAUCCAUUUCAAAACAUUAUAGGUCAUUUUGACUGAAACCCUAAUUUUGGGUCAACUUCCCAAGGACCUAACUCACUCAUUUUUCAUGAUUUUGAGGUGGGAUCAAAUGAAUUGGAAAGACAUCAUCCAUUUCAAAACAUUAUAGGUCAUUUUGACUGAAACCCUAAUUUUGGGUCAACUUCCCAAGGACCUAACUCACUCAUUUUUCAUGAUUUUGAGGUGGGAUCAAAUGAAUUGGAAAGUUUAACAUGUCUACUUCAUUUUUUAUGUUGAAAAAAUGUUCAUAAUCCUAAAAGAAGUACAUGUGAUAAUGCAAAACAUUAUAGGUCACUUUGGACCAAAGUCAUUGAAAUGUGAAAAAGUCCAACUUCAAGUGCCCAUAACUUUCUCAUCAAAAAUCCAAAUGAUGCAAAAUUUGAGUACAAAUUGAUUUUAUUGAAAAGAUAUACAACUUUGAUGUUGAAGGUUUUGUCAUUUGAGGCUUGCAUCAUUGAAACAGAAGGGCUUGAAGUUGGUCCAUUUUGGCAAAAUUCUCAUACACAUAUUUUGUACAUGGAACUUCAUGAUCAGUUUUCAUUAAUUUCCCAACUCCAAAUGGAUUUUUGUUCAACAUAAAAAUUGUUCCUCAUGUCAAGGCCUUUCCAACCAUUACCCACAUGACCAUGAUUCAUUUUGGUAAGGUGCAUUUUCGAAGAGAUGAAAGUUUAUGUUCAUUUAUGGAAACAAUGUUAAAAAUCCAUGCACAAGCCAAUUCAAUCACACUUGUACGUCCAAUUCAUCUCAAUUACAUAUGAACACUCAAUUGCCAUUGCAUUUGGGCCUCCCAUGCGCCUGUACAGGCCCAUACAUAGAGGCCCUCACUUCAUGCACACAUGAAUUUCACCUUGCUUGCAUCACCUUGUGCUAUAAAUAGAGAUGCUCAGCUUCACUCCAAAUCAACCUUAAGGCGCCUUACAUGCUGCAGAACUGAAUCCCCACCUCACUCAAAGGAAUUUUUUGCAUUUCACUUCAAUUUUUCAGUCUCAAUUUUCAACUUCCUUGGUUGAUUAUUGAGCUCUAAUUCCUUAGCCUCACUUCCUUUCCAUCUCAAGAACACACUGCUAUCAAGAAUUGGGAGAGAUCGUGAUUCAUAGAGAUGCACUUCAAAGGUUGUUGUUCAAACUUUUUCAAUUCGAAUCUCACUGGAUCUUGUUAUUUCUUGUGUUUGUUGGCUCCUCUGAAGUCCUUCAUAAGAGGCAAUUGAAUAUUUAAUUUCACGAAUCCAUCAAGUUCAGAUUGAACACCAUAAUUUUCUCUCUCAGAUUUCUCCUUCUAUGAGAGUCUAGAGGAGAAACCAAUGGCACAGGGGUGAUGUACAUCACCCCAGCUUUCUAAUGAUAUGAGGAUCGUCCAUUUUGGUUGAGAUUUCAUGACCUGCAACUUCCACCGGAGCUAGCAUGCUUGCCGGAGAAGACGGUGGUGUACACCACCGUCCCCGUUGCCAGAUUUAAUCUAGGCCAUUUGAUUGCAUUUCCAGAUCUAAUCAUAGCCUUCAAAUCUUAUGACUUUUAAUAAUGCUAUGUGUUUCUCGUUUGACCAAAGUCUAUGAUGCGCGCGCGCCUGUGAGCCAUCUGAUGUGCCACAUCAUUUAAUGAGAUUGAUCCAACGCGUCAGGCUUUUUGCAUUUUCUGAUUUUUCUAUUUUAUUUUCUUAAUUUUAUUUUAUUUCAAAAAUUCAUAUCUCUUUCAUUUUAAAUCCAAAAAUUAUGGGACCAAUUGCAUUAUUUCCCUUUUUAAUUCUAGUUUCUAAAAAUGAUUUUUAAUAUUUUUUAUUUUUCCAUUUGAUAUUUUUUGUAAAAUUUCUCUUUUCUGGUUAUUUUUAAUUCAUUUUAAAUAGUUUCCAAUAUUCAAAAAAUGCAAAAAUAUUUUCUUAACAUCUUUGAAUGAUGAUGAAUCUAUGAAAAAUAUUCUCAUCAAUUUCUGGAAUUGAUUUGAGAUUUAUUUGAGAUUUUGUUCAAUUAUGUUUAUUUUUUCAUUUUUAAUUGUUUAAAAAAUAGGUUCUGGUUUCCAAAAUGCUGAAGUUUUGUCAAACUUUGUUUGACCUUGUUGAACUUAGGAUGAUCCAUUUGGACUUUUCCAAGUUGAUUUGAAAUGGAUUUGAAGUUUGACCUUUAUUUGAUUAUUUUAAUUCAAGUAUUAUUUUAAUUUUCAAAAAUAGCAAAAAUAUUUUAUUUGUUUCUUGACUUCUAAGCUUCAUCUUACUUCUGUUUACCAUUGAUUAACUUUGAUUCCUUUCAUCUUUGGUCAAUGUAUUUUGCUUUUGUCAUUUGAAUUUCCAUUCAUGUUCAUUCUUAUUCUUCUUCUUCUUCAUCUUUUUUUUUCUUUUUGAUCAAUGAGUUAGAGAUUGGUGGUUAGCCUUGACAUAUGAGGGGCUUAACCUUAUUUGAUUCAAAUCUAAUUCAUCUUGAUCAAGGAUCAAGUGAAUGACUUUGCAUUAGAGAUAGGUUGCUUCUUAGUCAAGCAAAAAAUCUAAAUCAAUACAAGAUCAUUCUUCUUUUAUUUUGGCAUGACAAGUUGUAGGAGCUUGGAUUACUAGUCAUGGUCUCUAACUUGUGUUUGUUGCCUAUAGUUUUAUUGACCGGCCUCAGAUAGGUGUGACUACUACAUUAGUCCACUUACGAUUGCUUAACAUAGCGCUAAAUUGCCUUAUGGCACACACUCAGAUAGGUGUGACUACUACAUUAGUCCACUUACGAUUGCUUAACAUAGCGCUAAAUUGCCUUAUGGCACACUAACAUUAACUAUUAACACUAACUUUUAAUUCAAGUCUUUAAUUCUUGCAAUUUACUUUAAUGCAAUUUAAUUUCUUGCACAUUAAUUCAUUUGCUUUUGCCCUUUACUCACUUGAGCUCAUGUUUAUGUUAAUGCAAUUUGCCUUUUGCUCACUUGAGCACAUUAUUGUGUAUAUACUAUUGUGCUUGUUUUAUUUUGAUUGUGUGAACCCAAUGCAAAUGGACAAAGGACUUAGAUUUUAGGACCUUGCCUAUGCUAAAUGGAGUCAAAGAGAAACUAGGCCUCAUGCCUUUAGAAUGCUAUGAAAGAAAAAUGUCAAAGAGCAACUAGGCCUCAUGCCUUUAGAAUGCUUAAUGUUGAAGAUGAAUUGAAAGGACCUCUAAUUCUAAACUCCCUCUUGUCCAUUCUUUAUUUGUUUUGUGGAACUUUUUUAUUUGUGUGUUCUUGUGCUAGGGAUCCCAAACUUGCAAAGUAGAAGAACCAUUGUCAUGAGCAUCCAAAGUGAGAGAUACAAAAGCCAUUGGAAGAUUCCUAGGAGCUUGAUUGUUAUGUGCUUGAUUGCUUGAGUUAUUUGCUUAUUGCUUGUUAUAUCCAAAGGAAGGAGCAACUUGGAUCAUCACCAUGAUCUCAAGAAGGAAACUCCAUUGUGGUUUUAUUUCUCUUCCUUUAUCCUUGCAUGUUUAGGACUUAGCCAUUCUUCUUCUUCCUUCCACUCUAACCCAAGCCAAACUUUUGUGCACACAUUAACAUUGUUUUCAAAAUUAGAAACCUAAGCUCUAUGCUUUUGAUUUUUUCAAACUCUUUUCAUAACACUUAUCUGGAAUUGAACCCUUAAGUCAACUUUGACCAUACUUUGUGAAUACUUUUCAUUUGUAAAUACAACUCACUCAAUUGUUUUGUGGUUUCAAUGGCCACUUUGCCAAAGCUUUUCAUAAACAUUAGCUAUUAGGUUUAAGUUAUCCUAGAGGUUGAUAUAAUACUCACCUAUAUCCUUAGUGAUAGGAUUAUGAGUCUUCCAUGCUUAUUAUAGGGUUAACCCCUCACUAGCAUGUUGAAGCUCUCCUCACAUGGUGGAUUUGUGGUUUUAGGUUGAGUUUCUCCCUUUGAUAACAAAAGACCUUAAGGCUUUUGACCAAUCAAUUCACCAACUUCUUUUGAGAAUUUCACCCUGAACUACGAGGUUUUGAUCCUACCUUUUUAAGAUGGUACGUAGGCAAUGGGUUCAUCCUUUCAAACACAAAAUUGUAAAUAACUUAUAUAUUCUCUUCUCAUCUCCCCAAUCAUGUUUGCACAAAUAUUUUUCCCAAAUACCAACCUACCUUACAACAUUAGUGAAAAGGGCUCCCUUAGAGUACUAAGGAUGUUUUGGAUGCUUAAAACCUUCACAUUGCAUAACCAACCCCCUUACCCAGAUCUCUGACAUUUUUAUUAGUUUUUGAUUCGAUAAAACUUCUCGGUUUUUGUUCGCUUUCUAACCUUUCCUUUGGAUAAAUAGAAGUGCGGUGGCGACUUGAAUUGUAUGAUUUACUUUUGAUUUAGUCAAUAAAUCUAAAGGUAACGAAUACCCCGCUACAAAAAAGUGGCGACUCUGCUGGGGAUGAUUUGCCUAGUGGGUUUUGCCUACUUUUCACUUUUGUUGUAUUGUAUUAUUUAUAUUAUUUGUGACAUAUUUUUGUGCAAAUUUGGGAUUAUUGUAUUGAUUGUAAUGUACGAAUUGCUUGAUAUAUCAAUUGCUUGUGUGCUUGGUGGUCUCUUGUGAGACGAGUUCUAUACCCGAACUCGAGUGCACUUAUGAUAGGAGAAUGGCAUAGUCUUGUUGACUUGUGUGGAGUUAUUCCUUAACAAGUUGACUUGCAAGCCCAUUCACUUGGUGGAGGUUAUGUUGGGAUCAAUAAUGUCACACAAGUAGUCGUGGUUAGGCAUUACUCUUUCCAAUAUAUGCCUUAGAAGCCAAGGACCUUAGAUUACCCCCAUCUUGGCCUUUUUAGGACGUAGGAAGGGUUCAAGUGUAAGUUUGAUACGAUUGUACGCAUAACUACAUCCAUAGAGUCUCUCUAUAUUUUUGGAAUACGAGUAGUCAUUUAUCCGAUAAUAUCUGAAAGAUGGGAUGAUGACUAUGGGAACCUCUUGUAGAACAUGAUUGUCAGGUUUAACCAUAGUACACUCCCUUUGGAUGGUUCUUAACCGAGACUCCAUGCUCGUGACUUACAACAAACCCUUGAUUCAUGGUUGAUCCGUUCUUGUGUAUCCUUAAUAUCAAUGGAACUUGGGUGUUGAUAAGGUGAAAACCAUAAUCCACCAAAAUGGACUAGUGAUAUUAAGGAUGACUUGAUCCAUCCCAUGACCUUUGUAUGGUGUGAUUUGCUUGAUCCUUGAGUGUGAUUGUUGCAUCCAUGCAUUCAUGCAUUCAUACACAUCCAUAUCAUCAACAAUGAUAAAAUUUUCAAGGAACCUAAGAGGUUUAUUUGCAAAUUUUCAGACAUGAAUAAGCAAAGAAGGAAUACAAAGAAGUACAGUUUCAGACAACCCGACUUGAAAGAGUUAAGGAGUUUGACAUCCUAUGUAUUAGAUCCCUUGGAGUUCAAGGCUCGUCGUGAGAAGCUUCUGUCUAUUCUUGCAACUCAGGUGGAUGAAGGUCUGAUGAGUGUGUUGGUACAGUUCUAUGAUCCCUUGUACCGUUGCUUCACAUUCCCGGAUUUCCAGCUUUUGCCCACGCUUGAGGAGUAUGCCUAUCUUGUGGGUAUAUCCCGUUCCGACUCUGUUGAGUGACACUUAUUUCUCUUUGCAUAUGAGGAAUGCAAAGGGUGGUGGUACCAUUGUGUGUUGUUUUCCUCUGUUGUACAAGUGGUUUAUUUCUCACUUGCCUCAAACGCUCGCCUUCAAGGAGAAAAAAAGAUGUCUACGGUGGUCCACGAGACUUAUGUCUCUCACUAACGAUGAUAUCUUUUGGUAUAACCGUGUAUACGAUGGUGUGCAAAUUAUCGACUCUUGUGGUGAAUUCUCCAAUGUGCCUCUUCUUGGUACAUGUGGUGGGAUUAACUACAACCCUAUUUUAGCACGUCGUCAGCUUGGGUUCCCAUUAAAGGAUAAACCCAAUAACAUUUUGUUAGAAGGUAUGUUCUUUCAAGAGGGUAAAGAUCCCCAAAACAUGAAGGGCAGGAUGGUCCGCGCUUGGCGCAAGAUUCAUAGAAAGGGAAGGAAAGAGCUUGGUCUGAAGAAUUGUAUUACUUUGGAACCCUAUACCUCGUGGGUGAGGAGGAGAGCUUCUGAGUACCUUAUGCCUUAUGACUACCCGAGACCUACACCUAUGGUUGUGGCUGAGCCUUCAACCCUCCCUAACCAAGGAGUAGAGGAGUUGAGAGAUGAAGACCGUUCACGUGCUUGGAUCCGUGAGCGAGAGGAGCUACUUCAGCAGCUUAGAGAUAAGGAUGCUUUGAUAGAGUUUCUGGAGCAUCAGGUUAUCGACGAGCCUGAUGAUGUAGUCACUUCUCUUCUUCCUCAGUCUUCCAGGUUUUGGAAGAGGAAGUACGAUCGACUCGCCAAGGAGAAGGCAAAUAUGGAGGCAACCUAUGAGAGAGAGGUGAAGAGGCUUCGUGGAACUUAUCUUCCAGUCUCGAGAGAUUUGGACGAUUGGUUCUAGGGUUCCAUAGGAUGUUCAUUUUCCUUCUCCCUUGUAUUGUAUUUGGUUACCAAGAUUGUACUUCUUUGGUGUAAAAAUAUUUUCCAGAUGUUAUUGAUAUGAUUAUUCCACAUAUGUCUAAAUGAUUAAUAUUUCCAACAUUUGCAAAUAGGACUCUAAAAGUUCCUCUGAUAAAAAAUAAAUCAUAUGCACAAGCAUUGCAUGCAUCAUGUGCAUAAGCAGGUUUUGUUCCAGGGCUUCUUGUUCAGUGGUCUAACUCUGUGUUUUUCAUUUAUUUUAAAGACAAGCUGACGCACCGGUACUAUACCAGAGCCAACUCAUCAAAGCUAGUGGAUCACCUCGAGCAAGAGAACCGAGAAUUGAAGGAGGAAGUGGAAAGAUUGACUGCCCUGAUGGAGUUUUUUUUGGCCGCCCAAAGUCAGUCUUCUCCAACGCCUUCAACUCCUCCCCAGAGGACACGUCAUUUCUGAGAUUCCUUCCUCAACAGUACCUGCUUCCAGUGCCCACUUCGUGCCUACUGUUAUGCCAGCCGGGUUUCCCUGAGGGAUGCCCGCGAACUUUGUUCCAGAGGGUCUCGCCCCAACUUUUGCUUCUUUGUCGGUAUCUAGCCCGGUCCUUGCUGUGCCGCCUCCAGUCGUGCAUACUUUGCCGAUAGUAGAUGACAUCAUUUACCACUCUGAGCCAUCUGAGGGCCCAGACGUGUAUGAAAAGAUGGAUGCCAUGAACGAUCAAUUCCUUGAGCUGCGCAAGGAACUCAAAACUCUCAGAGGGAAGGACCUCUUUGGCAAAUCUGCUGCUGAGCUUUGCCUUGUUCCUAAUGUCAAGAUUCCUGUCAAGUUCAAAGUGCCUAACUUUGAAAAGUACAAAGGAAACACUUGCCCACUCAGCCAUUUGGUUAUGUAUGCACGAAAAAUGUCGACUCAGAACGACAAUGAUCAACUCUUGAUCCAUUACUUCCAGGAUAACCUGUCCGGUGCCGCCUUGAGAUGGUACAUGGGUUUGGACAGCUCGAACAUCCGCUCCUUCAAUGACCUUGGCGAAUCCUUCGUCAAGCAAUACAAAUACAACGUUGAUAUGGCUCCCGAUAGGGACCAGCUGAGGGCCAUGUCCCAGAAGGAUAAAAAAACUUUUAAGGAGUACGGCCAGAGGUGGCGAGAAUUGGCUGCACAGAUUGUGCCUCCGCUAGAAGAGAAAGAGAUUACCAAGAUCUUUCUAAAACCUUGAGUUCAUUCUACUAUGAGCGGAUGAUUGCUAGCGCUCCUUCUGACUUCACCGAGAUGGUAAACACGGGGAUGCGUUUAGAAGAAGGAGUCAGGGAAGGGAGCCUGACCAAAGAAGAAGGCUCUUCUGCCAAACAAUAUGGGGCGUUUGCGAAGAAGAAAGAUGGCGAGGCACAUGCUGUGACCUCCCAUAUUAAAUCUAGAAGACCCUCUGUGAAGAGGAAGACUGUGCAUUCCGCCAGUAAUCAGCACCAGAUGGAUCAUAUAGCACCUGCAUUCAGAGAAAACCAACAUUAUCAACAUUAGAACCAGCAACAACAACAUCAACAGUAUCAACAACAACAACACUGUCCUCAACAGCAGGCCUACCAGCCUCAAAACAACAAUCAAACCAGCACUAGCUAUGAUAGGAAGAGGGUCAGUUUUGAUCCUAUUCCCAUGACCUACGCAGAGCUAUAUCCUUCUUUAAUUGAAAGGAAGUUGAUCACUCCACGUGACCCACCUGCUAUACCUACCAACCCUCAGUGGUGGUAUAAGCCUGAGCUUCAUUGUGUUUAUCAUUCCGGUUCUCCCAGACAUGAUGUGGAGAACUGUUACCCUCUCAAUACCAAGGUUCAAGACCUUGUUAGAAGUGGUAUUCUGUUUUUCGAGGACAUAGGUCCUAAUGUGAAGAAGAACCCAUUGCCCGAGCAUGGGAAAUCUGCUGUUAACAUGGUUCAGGGUUGCCCUGGCAAAUAUAAGGUCCGAUAUGUCAACCAUAUCCGACAAUCUUUGGUCGAGAUGCACAGACAGUUGUGUGGAUACAGUCAUUACGAGCAUGACCAUGACAGUUGCCGUGUUUGUACUGUCAAUGAGAGGGGAUGUCGACAAGUUAGAAAAGACAUCCAAGAAAUGCUGGAUCAGGGUGUAAUUGAGAUACUUCAGAAUCGUGAUGAGGAUGAUGAAGUUAAUGUGAUAUCACCUGUAUUUAGGAUACCUGAGCCUGUUGUCGUCAGAUAUGAUGGCAGCAAGCAGAAGGCUUCUCCUACUCUCAUAAUUAAGCUAGUUGGCCCUAUGCCUUAUUCUUCUGACAAGGCCGUUCCCUAUCGAUAUAAUGUAGUGGCAUUAGAAGAUGGGAAGAAGGUGCCUCUAUCCUCCACUUCUGUUGUUAAUAUUGCUGACGUCAGCGGUUUGACCCGUAGUGGUCGUGGUUUUUCGGCGCCGCCAAAACCCCAAGCUGACACCAGAAGAGUUGAUACUGUUGAUAAUGUCGUUCGUCCUUUGGGGAAUUCUUCUGUUUCUCCGAAUCCGGCACUUGCUGUUAAUAGACCUGCCGCCGCUACUAAAACUCCUGCGCCUACUGGCCAGAAUGGCAUGAUGAAAGAGGACUGUGAUGAGAUGUUGAGGCUCAUUAAGAGGAGUGAAUACAAUGUUGUAAAUCAGCUUCUACAAACGCCUUCAAAGACAUAUGUGUUGUCUUUAUUGAUGAAUUCUGAGCCACACCGUGAAGCUUUGCAGAAGGUGUUGGACGUGGUGUAUGUAGAUCAUGACGUCACAAUAGAACAAUUUGAUAACAUUGUUGCAAACAUUACUACUUGUAACAAUAUGAGUUUCUGUGAUGCUGAUCUCCCCGAGGAGGGAAGGAACCACAAUUUGGCUCUACACAUUUCCAUGAAUUGCAAGGAUGAUUCCUUGUCUAAUGUGCUGGUAGACACAGGAUCAUCGCUAAAUGUGUUGCCAAAAUCCACUCUGGCGAAACUUUCUUAUCAGGGGCCUCCCAUGAGGCAGAGUGGAGUCGUUGUUAAGGCUUUUGAUGGAUCCAGGAAAACUGUGAUUGGAGAGGUUGAGCUCCCAAUCAAGAUUGGACCUAGUGAUUUCCAUAUCACUUUCCAGGUCAUGGAUAUCCACCCAUCAUAUAGCUGCUUGCUUGGCAGACCAUGGAUUCAGGAGGCAGGCACCGUGACAUCCACCCUACACCAAAAGUUGAAAUUCGUCAAGAAUAAGAAGUUGGUGGUGAUAGGGGAAGAGAAGGAUCUCUUGGUAAGCCAUUUGUCUUCCUUUUCCUAUAUAGAUGCUGAGGAUGAGGUUGGGACGCCGUUCCAAGCCUUAUCUAUUGAUGAGCCUUUAAGGAAAGGAACUUCUUCAUUUGCGUCCUACAAUGAUGCGAAGUUGGCCAUUGAGCAUGGUGCAACUACUGGUUUAAGACAAAUGAUUAAGCUGGAAGACAAUAAAUCCCGGGCUGGCAUAGGGUACUCUUCAGGCACAUUUAAUGAGCACGGUUUAUUCCAGAGUGGAGGUUUCAUCCACACGAUCGAAGACCAAGAGGCUGCUGCUAUAGUGGAAGAUGAUGCAGAGGAAGAUUCUGGCAACUUUGUCAUCCCUGGAGGAGUCUGCAAUAAUUGGGUCGUUGUUGAUGUUCCAACAGUUGUCCAUAAGUCUACGUAAUAUGUUCACCUUUGUUUAAAAACCCUUCUCCCAUGCCAAAAGGAGAAGUGAUGACACUGUUGGCACAUUAAUACAAUGAUAUUCAUUCAAUAAUUACAUGUUAAAUGUUUGUUUUUCCAAAUCAUUUUCCCUUUUUGCUUUUUUCAUGAAAUUGGUGAUCACUAAAAAACCCUAAAAAGAGAAUCUUUUCAUCUGCAUAAUGAUUUGCCUUGUUUGAAAUCUGAAAUCUCUUUUAUAUCCAAAAUCAUUAUGCAGGUUGAUCAAAACCCAUUGAACAUAAUGAUCCAACACCAUCUCCCAACUUUGAGUUCCCUGUAUUUGAGGUAGAAGAAAAUGAUGUUGAAAAGAUUCCUGAUGAGAUUACCCGUCUGCUAGAGCACGAAGAGAAGGUCAUUCAGCCGCAUCUUGAGAAUCUGGAAACAGUCAACUUGGGGUCUGAAGAUUGUGUUCACGAAGUGAAGAUUGGGGCACUCCUUAAAGCAUCUGUGAAGAAGGGGUUGAUUGAGUUGCUACGAGAAUAUGUCGACGUCUUUGCCUGGUCGUAUGAAGACAUGCCUGGUCUAGAUACAAAUAUCAUGCAACAUUUCCUGCCUUUGAAGCCUGAGUGUGUGCCUGUGAAGCAGAAGCUCAGAAGAACUCAUCCUGAUAUGGCAGUGAAGGUUAAAUAAGAAGUUCAGAAGUAAAUUGAUGCGAGGUUUCUGGUGACUUCUACAUAUCCUCAAUGGGUGGCCAAUAUUGUGCUCGUGCCUAAGAAAGAAGGAAAAGUCCGAAUGUAUGUGGACUAUAGAGACUUGAAUAAAGCUAGUCCGAAAGAUGAUUUUCCUCUACCACACAUUGAUAUGUUGGUAGACAAUACAACUAAAUUCAAUGUUUUCUCAUUCAUGGACGGAUUUUCCGGUUAUAACCAGAUUUAAAAUGGCACCCGAGGAUAUGGAGAAGACAACAUUCAUCACACCUUGGGGAACAUUCUGUUAUCGAGUGAUGCCCUUCGGUUUGAAGAACACCGGAGCCACGUAUUAACGAGCUAUGACUACCUUGUUUCCUGAUAUGAUGCACAAGGAGAUCGAGGUAUAUGUUGAUGACAUGAUUGCAAAGUCGAGAAUGGAAGUUGAACAUGUAGAGCACUUGUUAAAGCUUUUUUAGUGUUUGAGGAAGUAUAAGCUUCGUUUGAAUCCUAACAAGUGUAUAUUCGGAGUCCGUUCCGGCAAGUUAUUGGGAUUUAUUGUCAGCGAGAGAGGUAUUGAAGUUGAUCCUGCCAAGGUCAAAGCAAUACAAGAGAUGUCUGCGCCCAAAACUGAGAAGCAAGUCCGAGGUUUUCUUGGCCGCUUGAAUUAUAUUUCCAGAUUUAUAUCUCACAUGACUGCUACAUGUGCGCCUAUAUUCAAGCUCCUCCGGAAAGAUCAGCGUCAUGAUUGGACCGAGGAUUGCCAAAAGGCCUUUGACAGUAUUAAAGAGUAUCUGUCUGAGCCUCCGAUUCUGUCUCCGCCUAUGGAAGGGAGACCCUUGAUUAUGUAUCUGACAGUUCUUGAAGACUCCAUGGGUUGUGUCCUUGGUCAGCAAGAUGAAUCAGGGAAAAAAGAAUAUGCCAUCUACUAUCUGAGUAAGAAGUUCACUGAUUGUGAGUCUCGAUACUCGAUGCUUGAGAAAACAUGUUGUGCUUUGGCUUGGGCUGCUAAGCGCUUACGCCAGUAUAUGUUAAAUCAUACGACUUGGUUGAUAUCCAAUUUGGCUUGGGCUGCUAAGCGCUUACGCCAGUAUAUGUUAAAUCAUACGACUUGGUUGAUAUCCAAAAUGGAUCCAAUUAAGUAUAUCUUUGAGAAGCCUGCUUUAACUGGGAGGAUUGCCCGUUGGUAGAUGCUGUUGUCUGAGUAUGAUAUUGAGUAUCAAGCUCAGAAGGCUAUUAAAGGAAGUAUCUUGGCUGACCACUUGGCACAUCAACCAAUUGAGGAUUAUCAGUCAUUUCAGUACGACUUCCCUGAUGAGGAGAUUCUGUAUUUGAAAAUGAAAGAUUGCGAUGAGCCUACGCUCGAUGAAGGGCCAGAGCCUGAAUCCCGAUGGAGCAUGGUGUUUGAUGAUGCUGUAAAUCAAUAUGGAAAUGGUAUUGGGGUAGUGAUUAUUACUCCUCAAGACACACAUUUUCCUUUUAUAACAAGGCUAACUUUCAAAUGCACGAAUAAUAUGGCGGAAUAUGAGGCAUGUAUUAUGGGUUUAGAAGAAUGUAUUGAUCUUAGGAUCAAGUAUCUUGAUGUUUAUGGUGAUUCGGCCCUUGUUGUUAAUCAGAUUAAGGGUGAAUGGGAGGCGAAUCAGCCUGGCCUCAUCCCAUAUAGAGAUUAUGCGAGGAGGAUUUCAAUGUUCUUUAUUGAGGUUGACUUCCAUCAUAUUCCUCGAGAUGAGAAUCAGAUGGCAGAUGCUCUUGCUACACUUGCUUCGAUGAUUGUGGUGAAAUUCUGGAAUGAAGUCCCCAAUAUUACUAUAAUGCGCUUGGAUAGACCAGCUCAUGUAUUUGCAGUAGAAGAAGUGAAAGAUGAUAAGCCAUGGUAUAUUGAUAUCAAGUGCUUUCUCUAGAGUCAGAUUUACCCGCCUGGGGCAUCUGUUAAAGAUAAGAAGACUUUGAGGAGAUUGUCUGACAGUUUCUACCUCAAUGGCGAUGUGCUUUAUAAGAGGAAUUUUGACAUGGUCCUGCUUAGAUGCGUGAAUAUACACGAAGCAGACCGGUUGAUGACUGAAGUCCAUGAGGGUUCAUUUGGUACUCAUUCCAAUGGACAUGUCAUGGCAAAGAAGAUGUUGAGAGCAGGCUACUAUUGGCUGACAAUGGAGUCUGACUGCUGCAAGUAUGUGAAGAAAUGCCAUAAGUGUCAGAUUUAUGCGGAUAAGAUUCAUAUUCCCUUGACACUUCUGAAUGUUAUUUCCUCACCAUGGCCUUUCUCUUUGUGGGGAAUUGACAUGAUUUGCAUGAUAGAGCCGAAAGCAUCCAACGCUCACAGGUUUAUUCUCGUAGCAAUUGAUUACUUCACCAAAUGGGUUGAAGCGGCGUCAUAUGCGAACGUGACCAGGCAAGUGGUUCUGAAGUUCAUCAAGAAUCAACUCAUAUGCCGUUAUGGUGUGCCAGACAAGAUCAUUACUGAUAAUGGGUCUAACUUGAACAACAAGAUGAUGAAAGAGAUGUGUAGCGAGUUCAAGAUUGCACAUCAUAAUUCUUCUCCUUAUAGACCCAAGAUGAAUGGGGUUGUUGAAGCAUCUAAUAAGAAUAUCAAGAAGAUUAUCCAGAAGAUGGUUGUUACGUACAAAGAUUGGCAUGAGAUGCUGCCAUUUGCUUUGCAUGGUUAUCGUACAUUUGUCCGCACUUCAACAGGGGCAACCCCUUUCUCCCUUGUAUAUGGCAUGGAGGCUGUGCUUCCCGUGGAGGUUGAGAUCCCAUCAAUGAGAGUCUUGAUGGAAGCCAAGUUGACUGAGGCUGAAUGGGUUCAGAGUCGUUAUGACCAACUGAAUUUGAUAGAAGAGAAGAGAUUGACUGUCAUGUGCCAUGGUCAGUUAUAUCAGCAAAGGAUGAAGAAAGCCUUUGAUAAGAAGGUCAAGCCUCGUGUGUUCCGAGAAGGUGAAAUUGUGCUCAAGAAAGUCUUGUCUUUCGCGCCGAUUCCAGGGGCAAGUGGACUCCAAACGAUGAAGGUCCAUAUGUUGUUAAGAGAGCCUUUUCAGGCGGUGCUUUGAUACUUACAACUAUGGAUGGGGAGGAUUUCAUCCGUCCUGUAAACUCAGAUGCAGUCAAGAAAUACUUCAUCUAAAAUAAAACAGAAUAGCUCGCUAGUUGAAAACCCGAAAGGGCGGCUUAGGCAAAAAAAGCGUCUCGUGGAUAAAAACUCGAAGGGCGAUCCAGGCAAAAGUUAGAGACAUAUAAAAAUAUAUAUAUAAUAUAUAUAUAUAUAUAUAUAUAUAUAUAUAUAUAUAUAUUAUAUAUAUAUAUAUAUAUAUAUAUAUAUAUAUUAUAUAUAAUAUAUAUAUAUAUAUAUAUAUAUAUAUAUAAUAUAUUAUAGUAUAUGAUAUAUAAUAAUAUAUAUAUCCCGCUAGAUUGAGUACCUCACCCUGGGGCAAUCUAGGCAAAAAUCAGGGAUUUGGCAAGUAAUUGCAUCCUGACAAGACUUUGUUCUACAGCCGUCAUCUGUCAGAGAUUUUCGCUCAGUCAUCGUCAACUGAAGCUUCAAAUACAUUGGAUUCAGAGUUGGUGGAGAAAUGGUCAUUAUGUUCAAUGUAGCCCUUUUCUAAUAUAUAUCACCAAUUUCAAAUUUGUAAAGAUCCAUGGAGUCUUGCCAUUUGCAGACUCCCAUUCCAUCAAAUAAAUUUGAGCCUUUACCCAAUUCUUUGCACUCUUAUUGGUUUCUGUUUAACAAAUGUUUACAUGUUUUAAUUGAUAAAUAUCAUUGUUUUAAAUAAAUAAAGUUUUUAUAAACUGUUUUUAAACAAAGUGAACAUUCAGAACAACCGAAAGGAUAAUUGAGACAUCUUCAGUGCUCUCCCAAGAACAGUAUGAUCUCCAAAAGGGUAAGACAUUUGUUCAUUAUUCCUAGCAUACUUGUAUCCUCUUCAUUAUCUUUCAGGUUGUCUCCUCCGCGAACGCAGAAGAGUGUUAAGCAUCACCAAUUUCCGUAGAGAGUCUGGAGCUUUGGUCCUGGUUUGUUUAGGGAAGUAUAUCUCUAACCCCCUCAACUCCCCAGAGAGUCUGGAGUUUGGGUUUCAGUCUUCUAGCUCCCCAGUGAGUCUGGAUCUAGCAUUUGUGCUAUCAAUUGUAUGGUUGUCAUCCCUGUCACAACGCGAAAAACAACCGACGGAAAAAAUUACAGAUUAUAGAGCCGCCACCGACGCUAUUCAUCCUAUGACGGAAAGGGAGCGCAGGACUAACCUAAGAAAGGGAAAGGAAUGGUCUUACGACCAGAGAUUACAAGGUACAUGAGUCGGUUACGCAAGGGGAAGGUAUUAGCACCCCUCACGUCCGUCGUACUCGACGGGAUCCAUGCUCAAAAGAUAGCUCAAAGAGUAAGAAAAGGUUGCUAAUAAAACUGCUCAAAGAAAAUGCACAAACUGGAAUAAUAAACAGGUGGGAGGAAAAAACGGAGGAAGUGGACUCGGCAGGAUGUCGCAUCUUGGGCCUACGUAGUUUGUCAGAAACAAACAUCAGAGUCAACGUAGUUCGGGGAAAGGGAGACAUGCUCACUAAGACAUCGCGUCCUAUGCCUACGUAUCUUCUCUAUCCAGAGGAGAAUCAGAGCACUCGUAGCUCGGCUAAUGCACGCCAAAACAAGACACUAAAAAGGAGACGUUGAGACGUCAAAAGAAACACCCAAAAGGAAACAGAUUGCCAAUACAUGGACUUACACCCGACUCCUGACAAUAACCAAACAAAAGAAAACAGAAUGCCAAUACAUGGACUUACAUCCGACUCCCAACAACAACAAACAAAGAGGAAACAAAAUGCCAAUACAUGGACUUAUAUCCGACUCCUAACAAUAACAAAUAAACAGGAAACAGAAUGCCAAUACAUGGACUUAUAUCCGACUCCUAACAAUAACAAACGCUAACCAGCGAACACCAAAGAAAAAGGUUAUCAGAAUGAACCCCAACAAAGUAACCAAAUAUCCAAAGAUGAACCCCAAAGAUGAACCCCAAGUGAAUAAUCACCACAAACGUCGCAAACGAACCCCAAGUGAGUGACAACCGUCACAAAUGAACCCCAAAGAUGAUAACCAUCAUCACAAACGUCGCAAAUGAACCCCAAGUGAGUGACAACCGUCACAAAUGAACCCCAAAGAUGAACCCCAAAUGAUACCGGUAAACCCCAAUAUGAACCCCAAGUGAUACAGGUAAACCCCAAUAUGAAUGACAACAGUCAUAAAUGAACCCCAGAGAUGAACCCCAAAUAAAUCUCAAAGAUGAACCCCCAUAAGGUAUAAACAUACCACACACGCCCACGCUGGGCAAACAAGUACUCACACCAAAACAAAGAAGAGGGUGAACACACGCAAACAACACAACAUAAAAGAAAAAGGGUGACGACACACAUAAAAAAACAAAAGGGUUCCCGGAGAGAUUGCUCACAACCUCCUGCUUACGUAUCUCAUCUGGUAUGAGAAUCAGGGCGACGUAGUUCCCCUUAACAGGGGAAAGGAGACAACAAACUAAUAGGGAGACUAAGACUCGAGCCUAAUAGUUGUCAUGCCAACAAUAUCCCUAAGUCGGGAAUAAGGGUGAUGAACACACACAAAAAAACAAAAGGGUGCCCGGAGAGAUUGCUCGCAACCUCCUGCCUACGUAUCUCAUCUGGUAUGAAAAUCAGGGCGACGUAGUUCCCCUUAACAGGGGAAAGGAGACAACAAACUAAUAGGGAGACUAAGACUCGAGCCUAAUAGUUGUCAUGNNNNNNNNNNNNNNNNNNNNNNNNNNNNNNNNNNNNNNNNNNNNNNNNNNNNNNNNNNNNNNNNNNNNNNNNNNNNNNNNNNNNNNNNNNNNNNNNNNNNNNNNNNNNNNNNNNNNNNNNNNNNNNNNNNNNNNNNNNNNNNNNNNNNNNNNNNNNNNNNNNNNNNNNNNNNNNNNNNNNNNNNNNNNNNNNNNNNNNNNNNNNNNNNNNNNNNNNNNNNNNNNNNNNNNNNNNNNNNNNNNNNNNNNNNNNNNNNNNNNNNNNNNNNNNNNNNNNNNNNNNNNNNNNNNNNNNNNNNNNNNNNNNNNNNNNNNNNNNNNNNNNNNNNNNNNNNNNNNNNNNNNNNNNNNNNNNNNNNNNNNNNNNNNNNNNNNNNNNNNNNNNNNNNNNNNNNNNNNNNNNNNNNNNNNNNNNNNNNNNNNNNNNNNNNNNNNNNNNNNNNNNNNNNNNNNNNNNNNNNNNNNNNNNNNNNNNNNNNNNNNNNNNNNNNNNNNNNNNNNNNNNNNNNNNNNNNNNNNNNNNNNNNNNNNNNNNNNNNNNNNNNNNNNNNNNNNNNNNNNNNNNNNNNNNNNNNNNNNNNNNNNNNNNNNNNNNNNNNNNNNNNNNNNNNNNNNNNNNNNNNNNNNNNNNNNNNNNNNNNNNNNNNNNNNNNNNNNNNNNNNNNNNNNNNNNNNNNNNNNNNNNNNNNNNNNNNNNNNNNNNNNNNNNNNNNNNNNNNNNNNNNNNNNNNNNNNNNNNNNNNNNNNNNNNNNNNNNNNNNNNNNNNNNNNNNNNNNNNNNNNNNNNNNNNNNNNNNNNNNNNNNNNNNNNNNNNNNNNNNNNNNNNNNNNNNNNNNNNNNNUAUCAUGAAUGAUCAACAUGCAAAAUAUCAAAUCCAGAAAGAUUCAAAUGCUAUGUGAACAAAAAUGUGACAAUCCAAUGCCAAAAAUGUGACACAAAUUGUCACAUUUUUCUUCAUGUGUCAAAAGUGAUGAUAGCAUAUGAGAAAAAUUCCAAACCAAUGCUCAAAAAUUCACAUCAUGUAUGAUCAUUAAGCAUGCAAAAAAUCAGAUCAAUUGGAUCAAAGAUGAAGAUUUCACAAAGCAAUGAAUGCAACAUAUCAAAAUAGCAUGGCAUGGAUCAAAAAAUUCACAAAUAAAAAUCCAGCAAACAAAAAUUCAUGAAAAUAAUAUCAAAAAAAAAAACUAGACAUCAAAACAGAACUAUGAAAAAAAAUUGGAGUUAAUUUGGAUCAUUUUUCAAUUUUUAAUGAUUUUUCAAAGUAACUACAAUAAUAUGAAAUCACAUGGAAAUAUGGAGGGAAAAGAGAUAUUUCAAAUAAUACUCAGAAUAUUCACAUCCACACGAUCAGGCGUGAGAAUCACAUCAACGGUCCAGGUUUGAACAU
rnacentral:lncRNA from 1 species